rnacentral:lncRNA from 1 species
GGGGCUUCUGUUUUUUAAACUCAUGAUCAAGUUAAUAACAAAAUUACUAUAUUACAAAAGGAAUGCAACACUAACAGAAUACAGAAGGGCAAUCAAUGAACAAAAGACAAAUAAAUAAGAAACAUUGAUCCUGAAAAAUCAGGGGCUACGUUUUAGGGAUAACAGAACUUGCUUCUUGCAAGGCACUCGACGUGAAAACAAUUUGAUAUGGAGACAAGCGUUUGGUUUUGAAAUUUUCUACAUGAGGCAUUUGCCUUAAUGUACAAAAUGUAGUUACGGCCCUGUUAAAUAAAAGUGAGGUAAGUGUUGCUGAGAAAACAUACCUCAAGUUAAAUGAAGCCAAUUUACAGACAUU